GACGAACGCUGGCGGCGUGCUUAACACAUGCAAGUCGAACGGGCUGCCUGGUUUUCGGAUCGGGUGGUGAGUGGCGAACGGGUGAGUAACACGUGAGUAACCUGCCCCUCUCUUUGGGAUAACGUCGGGAAAUCGGCGCUAAUACCGGGUAUUCUGGCUUCCUCGCAUGGGGUUGUUGGGAAAGGUUUUUUCUGGUGGGGGAUGGGCUCGCGGCCUAUCAGCUUGUUGGUGGGGUGCUGGCCUACCAAGGCGGCGACGGGUAGCCGGCCUGAGAGGGUGUCCGGCCACACUGGGACUGAGACACGGCCCAGACUCCUACGGGAGGCAGCAGUGGGGAAUAUUGCACAAUGGGCGGAAGCCUGAUGCAGCGACGCCGCGUGGGGGAUGACGGCCUUCGGGUUGUAAACCUCUUUCAGUGCAGAACAAGGCUCUUUGUGGGUUGAGGGUAUGCGCAGAAGAAGCGCCGGCUAACUACGUG
rnacentral:rRNA from 1 species